AACAAAGUGCCUGAAUAAAGGACUGCCUUGAUGUGGCAGAUCAUGAUUUUAACAAAUCCUUUGUUU
rnacentral:tRNA from 1 species